rnacentral:rRNA from 1 species
AUACGGAGGCUCCGAGCGUUAUCCGGAUUUAUUGGGUUUAAAGGAUGCGCAGGCGGCCAUUUAAGUCAGAGGUUAAAUCGUGGGGCUCAACCCCAUUCUGCCGUUGAUACUGGGAGGCUUGAUUGCGGUCGAGGUUGGCGGAAUUCGUUGUGUAGCGGCGAAAUGCAUAGAUAUGACGAAGAACACCGAUUGCGUAGGCAGCUGACCAGAUCGCAAAUGACGCUCAUGCACGAAAGUGCGGGGAUCGAACAGGAUUAGAUACCCUGGUAGUCCGCACAGUAAACGAUGAAUACUUGUUUUCGGCGAUAUAAUGUCGGAGGCAAAGCGAAAGCGAUAAGUAUUCCACCUGGGGAGUACGCCGGCAACGGUGAAACUCAAAUGAAUUGACGGGG